UGGGGAAUUUUGGACAAUGGGCGCAAGCCUGAUCCAGCCAUGCCGCGUGCAGGAUGAAGGCCUUCGGGUUGUAAACUGCUUUUGUACGGAACGAAAAGGUGCCUUCUAAUAAAGGGCGCUCAUGACGGUACCGUAAGAAUAAGCACCGGCUAACUACGUGCCAGCAGCCGCGGUAAUACGUAGGGUGCGAGCGUUAAUCGGAAUUACUGGGCGUAAAGCGUGCGCAGGCGGUUUUGUAAGACAGAGGUGAAAUCCCCGGGCUCAACCUGGGAACUGCCUUUGUGACUGCAAGGCUGGAGUGCGGCAGAGGGGGAUGGAAUUCCGCGUGUAGCAGUGAAAUGCGUAGAUAUGCGGAGGAACACCGAUGGCGAAGGCAAUCCCCUGGGCCUGCACUGACGCUCAUGCACGAAAGCGUGG
rnacentral:rRNA from 1 species